AGUGCCCGCAGGCGCCUGUGUAAACAAUAAAGCUGCCUCUUGCCUUUGCAUCCAGUGGCUCGGUCUUGGUUCUUGGGCGCGGGUCUCCCACCACGGAAGAUUCCCCCUCCCCCGGGAAUCUUACAGCUGGGGGCUCGCCCGGGAUUGGGGACCCCCGCCCAACCCAAUUACUGCCCACCGGGAGAUAGGGGACUCAGUUUGGGUCCGUCGACAUCAGACCAAGAAUCUGAAA